rnacentral:sRNA from 1 species
GUUUAGUCCCGAUUGAAGCAAUUGUUUGAGCUCUUUUUUGUUUUUUUCAAACAAAAAAAGCGAGUGCGGAAAGCGGGAAAUAGC